CAUUUGAAUCUCUGGAACCUGUGAAUAUGUUACUUUAUAUGGCAAAAGGAACUUUGCAGGUGUGAGAAAAGUUGAGGACCUUGAGAUGGGGAGAUCAUCCUGGAUUAUUUGAAUAAGCCCAAAUUCAUCAAAUGAAUUCUUAAAAGAACCUUUUCUCUGAGAUGAGAGUCAGAGGGAGAUGUGGCUAUGGAAGAAUGGUCAGAGAGCAAUGCAAAGGUGCUGGCUUUGAAGAUGGAAGAAGGGGCCAUAAGCCAAGAAGUAUGGUUUGUUUCUAGGAGCUGGAAGAGGCAAGAAGACAUAUUCUCCUCUAGACCCUCCAGAAGAAAUGCAGCCUCACUGACACCUUAAUUUUAGCCCUGAAAGACCCAUUUUAGAACUCUGACCUACAGAACUGUAAGAUAUGCUGUUUCAAAAUUGAUUGGUUCUCUGACUCGCACACUGAAAUCAUCCAACCUAUUGAAAAAGCAGAAUGGGAUGUGGAUUAUAGGGUUUAAGAUAACACCAAGU
rnacentral:lncRNA from 1 species